UUUUUUUUUUUUUUUUUUUGCUGCCCGUUUCCUGGGGCAUGCCUAUUUGCAAGGUUUCAUAGACUUGCCUUUUAAAAACUUCUUAGAACAAAAUUAUCCUAUCGUGUUAUUAACCCACAGGAUUUCUUACAUUGGGAUUGACCUGUCAUAUGUAUCAAGCACCCUCUUCUACACAACCUGGGAUAGGUGUUAAGAUGAAAGCAGGUGACCCACAAAUGACUGGAGCUCAAAUUCCAAAGCAGACUGAGGACCAGAGAUAAGCAUGAAGAGAAGAAUACCAAAAUAAUAAUAACAAUAAUAAAAAAUAUUUAAGAAGAAAAAAAGAGAAGAAUACCAGUCUAUGUAGGCGGCAGCGAUUGUGAGGAGAAGCAGGAGGGAAGGCUGUCUGGAGUGUAGUGUUUUACACGCCCACCCAAGGGCUCGACCAACCCAAAUGGCCACAGUCAGUAUUACAGCCUCUUCACAGAAGAGAUCAAACUGGAUUCCAUAUAAGCUAUGAUGGGCUGUUCUUCCUUCUCACUCUGCCCUCCCUCUGGCAGUCAAAAUUUAAGGUUACACUAAUAAAGGCGCUCCCAGAACUAAACGACAAGUACCAGGGUUUCAGAAAAAUAAUUCUGAGCUGAUAUUAGCAAGUAAUCUCACUAGAUGGCACUGCUGACUUCCAAAUCCGAACCUGAAUGAGGCCAAUGCAUCCAGCUUCUGAAACCAAAACUAGAACCAACCUUCUGACGCCCCCUGCUGGCCUCCCCAUUACUCAGAAAAUAGUUCAGAAGGUGGAGAGGAAAGCAACAAUGGUUCACCUUCAAACUAUUUAUUCGUUCUAAAUAACUAAGGAAUAUCAACCUGCACGCAUUCAACAAGGUUUCAUAUAAUGUCCUCUAUGUGCACACAGGCCAACUAAAGGCAGCAUCAAGGCUAAGUCUGGACUUUGGAAUAUGCUGCCUCAGGUAUAUUAUAUCCAAACUCUUCUACUUUCUACUUAGAGAAUGCAGGGACUUGGAGAACAGACUUGCGGUUGCCAAGGGAGAAGGGGAGUGAGUGGGAUGGACUGGGAGUCUGGGGUUAAUAAAUUCAAACUAUUGCAUUUGGAGUGAAUAAGCAAUGAGAUCCUGCUGUACUGCACAGGGAGCUGUAUCUAGUCACUUAUGAUGAAACAUGAUGGAGGAUAAUGUGAGAAAAAGAAUGUAUAUAUGUGUAUGACUGGGUCACUUUGCUGUGCAGUAGAAAUUGACUGAACACUGUAAACCAACUAUAAUGGACAAAAUAAAAAUCAUUAAAAAAAGAAUUAGAGGGAGUUCCCAUCAUGGCACAGCGGAAACGAAUCCGACUAGGAACCAUGAGGUUGCGGGUUCAAUCCCUGGCCUUGCUCAGUGGGUUAAGGAUCCGGCGUUGCCGUGAGCUGUGGUGUAGGUCACAGACGUGGCUUGGAUCUGGCAUUGCUGUGGAUGUGGCAUAGGCCGGCGGCUACAGCUCUGAUUAGACCCCUAGCCUGGGAACCUUCAUAUGCCGUGGGUUCGGCCCUAAAAAAAAAAAAGAAUUAGGAGUUCCCAUCGUGGCGCAGUGGUUAACGAAUCCGAGUAGGAACCAUGAGGUUGCGGGUUCGGUCCCUGCCCUUGCUCAGUGGGUCAAGGUUUCGGCAUUGCCGUGAGCUGUGGUGUAGGUCGCAGACGCGGCUCGGAUCCUGCGUUGCUGUGGCUCUGGCGUAGGCUGACAGCUACAGCUCCGAUUCGACCCCUAGCCCGGGAACCUCCAUAUGCCGCGAGAGCGGCCCAAGAAAUGGCAAAAAGACAAAAAAAAAAAAAAAAAAAAAAAAAAAAGAAUUAGAGAAUCAACAUCUGUGACGUAUGGAGACAGUGCCUGGCACAUACUAAUUGCUGUAUAAAUGUUAUGUGCAAGGCAUUUCUUGAGAGUCAAGGAAAAAUAAAGACAUGAAUCAGAGAAGGAUCUUGCUCUCAAGGUCUUUACAAUCUGGAAAGUAAGAGUAGGUAUAAACUAUAAUUUUACACUACAUUCAAAAGCAGAAAAUGCUAACUUUUAGAAGUAAAUAUUAAUUGCUACAGAAGCAUAGACCAAGGAAAGAUCAUUUGCUUCUGGGGCUAGUAAGAAAAGACUGUCUUAACAUCAAAGGUUUUUGUGCUGACACUUGAAAUUUGAACGGAUUCAGGAUGAGCAGAACCAAGAAGAGAGGCAUUCUGGUUCAGCGCCACUCACCAAACAUUGAUCACGUACCAGGCACUGUGCUAGGAGAUGGGGAACAUAAAGAGCCCAGAGUCUAGGAGACACAAGUAUAUGCUGAGCACUUCGACAUAGGAAGGAUGAACGGGUGCAGAUUGCAGUUGAUUCUUCGGGUGGGUUUCAAGGGACCCAGAGGAGAGGGGAAUGUGGGACAGGAGGAACUGCAGAUAAAUCCACAGCAGCAACAGCUGCAGGGUGCACGGGCUCCUUCCUCCUCUAGACCCACCCCUAUUCCCCACCCCUAGGAGCUGGUCCUCUGCCUCCCACCCACCUCCCUCAUUUUCAGAACUUUUGCCCACAGUCUUUAAAGUGAGAUGAAUGUCAACCAGUCCUCCACUCAACCCCCAUCAGUGAUCAUUGUUGAGUAGAAUUUCCAGAGAUUCAGACAUGACCUUGCUCUUUUACAAAAACUCUCAAUUCCUCCCUUAAGUGAGCCUUUUCUUUUUUUUCCUUUCUCCUUCUUUCUUCCUUUCUCACCCUGCCUCCUUUUUUUUCCCCCCUUUUUUGGCUGCCUCACAGCAAAUGGAGUUCCUGGGCCAGAGAUCAGAUCUGAGCCACAGUUGUGACCUACAGUGUAGCUGCAGCAACACUAGUCCUUUAACCCACUAUGCUGCCGGGCUGGGGAUUGAACCUGGGUCCUGGUGCUGCAGAGAUGCUGCUGAUCCCGUUGCACCACAGAGGGAACUCAAAGUGAGCCUUGUCAAAUGAUACAGGCCACCUGGACACUGAAGAGCUCCCCCUGCUCCCUAAAUGAAUCUGCCUGUCCUCUGAGGUCAUGACAAAAGCCAUCACCAUAGUAGGGGGUUUACAGAGGCAUGUGGAAAGCUGGAAGGUCAAGGGCCACAUCCACAACCACUCCAUUUCAGUCAAGGCCUUGCAGGGACAGGUGGCUGGCCUGGGAAGUUGAGAACUUGGAGGAAGUCCAGCAGAGGGCACUAACACAUGAAAACUGUAAUGU
rnacentral:lncRNA from 1 species